rnacentral:rRNA from 1 species
UCCGUAGGCGGACUAAUAAGUCAUGGGUGAAAUCCAACAGCUUAACUAUUGAACUGCCUUUGAUACUGUUAGUCUUGAAUUAUAUGGAGGUAGAUAGAAUGUGUAGUGUAGCGGUGAAAUGCUUAGAGAUUACACAGAAUACCGAUUGCGAAGGCAGUCUACUACGUAUAUAUUGACGCUAAUUGACGAAAGCGUGGGUAGCGAACAGGAUUAGAUACCCUGGUAGUCC